CUGGCGGCGUGCCUAAUACAUGCAAGUCGAGCGGACCUGUUUUAAAGCUUGCUUUAAAACAGGUUAGCGGCGGACGGGUGAGUAACACGUGGGCAACCUGCCCGUAAGACCGGGAUAACUUACGGAAACGUGAGCUAAUACCGGAUAGGUUUCCUUCCCGCAUGGGAGGGAAAGGAAAGGUGGCGUAAGCUACCACUUACGGAUGGGCCCGCGGCGCAUUAGCUAGUUGGUGGGGUAAUGGCCUACCAAGGCGACGAUGCGUAGCCGACCUGAGAGGGUGAUCGGCCACACUGGGACUGAGACACGGCCCAGACUCCUACGGGAGGCAGCAGUAGGGAAUCUUCCGCAAUGGACGAAAGUCUGACGGAGCGACGCCGCGUGAGCGAUGAAGGUCUUCGGAUCGUAAAGCUCUGUUGUUAGGGAAGAACAAGUACCGGAGUAACUGCCGGUACCUUGACGGUACCUAACCAGAAAGCCCCGGCUAACUACGU
rnacentral:rRNA from 1 species